rnacentral:rRNA from 2 species
UGGGGAAUAUUGCACAAUGGGCGAAAGCCUGAUGCAGCGACGCCGCGUGGGGGAUGAAGGCCUUCGGGUUGUAAACUUCUUUUGCUCUGAACAAGGCGCACCAUGGGGUGUGUUGAGUGUAGGGGUUGAUUAGCGCCGGCUAACUACGUGCCAGCAGCCGCGGUAAUACGUAGGGCGCGAGCGUUGUCCGGAAUUAUUGGGCGUAAAGGGCUUGUAGGUGGCUGGUUGCGUCUGUCGUGAAAGCUCAUGGCUUAACUGUGGGUUUGCGGUGGGUACGGGCUGGCUUGAGUGCAGUAGGGGAGGCUGGAAUUCCUGGUGUAGCGGUGGAAUGCGCAGAUAUCAGGAGGAAUACCGGUGGCGAAGGCGGGUCUCUGGGCUGUUACUGACACUGAGGAGCGAAAGCAUGGGGAGCGAACAGG